rnacentral:rRNA from 1 species
AAGCGCUUGUGACCAGACUUGGGCGCGGCGAAUCAUCCGGGGUUCUCUCCGGUGCACUUCGCCGUGUUCAGGCCAGCAUCAGUUCGGCGCGGGGGAAAAAGGCUUCGGGAACGUGGCUGCUCCGGCAGUGUUAUAGCCCGUUGCAUAAUACCCUGCGCUGGACUGAGGACCGCGCAUCUGCAAGGAUGCUGGCGUAAUGGUCACCAGCGA